rnacentral:rRNA from 1 species
UACGGAGGGUGCAAGCAUUAAUCGGAUUUAUUGGGCGUAAAGGGCGCGUAGGUGAUUUGGUAAGUCAGAUGUGAAAUUCCACAGCUCAACUGUGGAGCGGCAUGUGAAACUACUGAGAUAGAGGGUAGACGGAGAAAACGGAAUUCCACAAGUAGCGGUGAAAUGCGGAGAUAUGUGGAGGAAGACCGGUGGCGAAGGCGGUUUUCUUGUCUAUACCUGACACUGAGGCGCCAGAGCAAGGCGAGCAAACAGC